rnacentral:miRNA from 1 species
UUUGUACUUCAUUAGGUGCUC